rnacentral:rRNA from 1 species
UGGGAAUUUGCGCAAUGGGCGAAAGCCUGACGCAGCAACGCCGCGUGCGGGAUGAAGGCCUUCGGGUUGUAAACCGCUUUCAGCAGGGAAGAAGCGAAAGUGACGGUACCUGCAGAAGAAGCACCGGCUAACUACGUGCCAGCAGCCGCGGUAAUA